rnacentral:lncRNA from 10 species
GUGAGCCACCACACAUUGCCUCAUUUUUGUUUUUAAGAAGUGUAUGUGUCUAUAUAUGUUAUGUAGAUAUAUAACAGAAAAAAAUUCUGUAAGCUUAUAUGCCAAAAACUUACAGUUUCUAGGAGGUAGGAAAGUUGAUGGUUUUUAUUUUUAUUUGCUUUUCUCUUUGCCUUGUCUGUACUUUCAGAUUUUUCCACAUGGACUGUCUAUUACUUGUGUAAUCAAGAAACAAUAGAAGUUAAAUAUAUUUUAGAAACUCAUAUGCAGUUAUUAAUUUUGUAAGAGAUGGGGUGAGAGGAUCCAGAAUUUUGCCUCUAUUUAAGCUUUUAUUGAAUUAAAGUCUAAGAGUCUUUCACUGUUGGAAAGCUCUACUCAUUUAAACAUUCUUUCUGAUAUGGAACCAAAAUCUACCUUCCAUCCUUUGGUCCUAAUUUGUCCUAGGGAAUGCCACAAAAUAAGCAAAACCCAUCUCCUCUCCAAUAGAUGGACUUUCAGAUAUUUGGCAAUGGCUAUCAUGUCUCCAUAAAUCUUUCUUCCUCUAGAUUUUCCAUUCCAGUCUUUUUUUCUUUGAGAUAGUUUCCAGACCUUGAUACUAUCCCAUUGGCUUCUGGACAUUUUCCAGUUUAUCAAUAUGUUUAAAGUGUGGCACUCAGAAAUGACCACAACACUCCACCCUUUUUCUACAUUUCAUUCUCAGUUUCUAUAAAUUGUUGUGUUAGAGUUCUCUGACUAAAAAGUAAUUUCGGAAUACUUCCCAGUUCAGUGUGACUGUACUCUGAAUCCUAUCCUAUGAUUAUGCAGAAGGAGCAGGACUGAAAUAAUAAAAAAGAAAGAAAAAUAAUAAUGAAAAAAUUAAG